ACGAACGCUGGCGGCGUGCCUAAUACAUGCAAGUCGAACGAGAGCAACCGGUGCUUGCACUGGUCAAUCUAGUGGCGAACGGGUGAGUAACACGUGGGUAACCUGCCCAUCAGAGGGGGAUAACAUCCGGAAACGGAUGCUAAAACCGCAUAGGUCUUCGAACCGCAUGGUUUGAAGAGGAAAAGAGGCGCAAGCUUCUGCUGAUGGAUGGACCCGCGGUGCAUUAGCUAGUUGGUGAGGUAACGGCUCACCAAGGCCGUGAUGCAUAGCCGACCUGAGGGGGUGAUCGGCCACAUUGGGACUGAGACACGGCCCAAACUCCUACGGGAGGCAGCAGUAGGGAAUCUUCCGCAAUGGACGCAAGUCUGACGGAGCAACGCCGCGUGAGUGAAGAAGGUUUUCGGAUCGUAAAACCCUGUUGUUAGAGAAGAACAAGUGCUAGAGUAACUGUUAGCGCCUUGACGGUAUCUAACCAGAAAGCCACGGCUAACUACGUG
rnacentral:rRNA from 1 species